CCUGAGAAACCCGAAAGAUCGAAUGGGGAGAUUCAUCGUCAGCGAUUCCGGCAUGUGUGCGGUUCGCGAUGCCUGGGACUUUCCGUCUCGAGGCACGCGUCCGUGUAUUUUUUUGUUGCCGGAAUUGUCGGCGUGCACUUCUCCCCUAGUAGGACGUCGCGACCCGUUGGGUGUCGGUCUACGGCACGGUAGGGUAGACUGUCACGCGUUCGGCGCUUCACGGCGUUGCGCGCGGGGCAGACCUCCGUUCGCCCGACCGACUGCCCGGCGGUACUCGCAAGGUAUCUGGCCGCAGACAUUGCGAACUGCGUCCGGCCCGUCGCAAGCGCGGCAAGUGUUCUAUCUCGGAUGUACGGAUCUGACGCCGUCACCGGGCCUUGCCAGCUGUUGGCCGACGGUGUCCUAGGACUGGCUGAAAAAACACGAUGAAAAUCGUACAAUAUGAUACCGGUCGGCGACGCUACUGCUUUGGGUACUUUCAGGACCCGUCUUGAAACACGGACCAAGGAGUCUAACAUGUGCGCGAGUCAUUGGGACUUGUUACGAAGCCUAAAGGCGCAAUGAAAGUGAAGAUCGGCCUCGCGCCGAUCGAGGGAGGAUGGGCCGCGUCACGAUGCGGUCCCGCACUCCCGGGGCGUCUCGUUCUCAUUGCGAGAAGAGGCGCACCCA
rnacentral:rRNA from 1 species